GAUGAACGCUGGCGGCGUGCUUAACACAUGCAAGUCGAACGAUGAAGCCCAGCUUGCUGGGUGGUUUAGUGGCGAACGGGUGAGUAACACAUGAGUAACCUGCCCUUGACUCUGGGAUAAGCGCUGGAAACGGCGCCUAAUACCGGAUACGAGAUUCCACCGCCUGGUGGGUUGCUGGGAAGAAUUUCGGUCAGGGAUGGACUCGCGGCCUAUCCGUUAGUUGGUGAGGGAGUGGCUCACCAACCCGACGACGGGUAGCCGGCAUGGGAGGGGGACCAGCCACACUGGGACUAAGGCACGGACCAGACUCCUACGGGAGGCAGCAGGGGGGAAUAUUGCACAAUGGGCGCAAGCGUGAUGCAGCAACGCCGCGUGAGGGAAGAAGGCCUUCGGGUCGUAAACCACUUUUAGCAGGGAAGAAGCGAAAGUGACGGUACCUGCAGAAAAAGCACCGGCUAACUACGUG
rnacentral:rRNA from 1 species